AUUCCAUGAUAGGGACACCGCCUCAAUAGAUAUUUAAACCUUUCCCAAGCAUCAAAUAAAGAUUCAUUUUAUCCUUGCCUAAAAAAAGUCAUUUCAUUCCUUAUUUU